AUGACACUGUUGGGUCUUCUGUAUCUGGUGACAGCCCUUCCUGGUAUCCUGUCCCAGGUACAGCUUCAGGAGUCAGAACCUGACCUGGUGAAGCCCUCUCAAUCACUGUUCCUCACCUGCUCUGUCACUGGUUACUCCAUAACCAGUGAUUACGACUGGAACUGGAUCAGGCAGUCCCCACGGAAGAAGCUGGAGUGGAUGGGGUACAUAAGUUAUAGUGGUGGCACCAACUACAACCCAUCCCUCAAGAGCCGCAUCUCCAUCACCAGAGAAACAUCCAAGAACCAGUUCUUCCUGCAGCUGAACUCUGUGACCACUGAGGACACAGCCACAUAUUACUGUGCAAGACACAGUGAGGGAACUUCAGCAUGA